rnacentral:tRNA from 1 species
ACUACUUUGGCAGAUAAGUGUAUUAAAUUUAGAAUUUAACCAUAAAUUAAUUUUAAUUUAAGUAGUA